rnacentral:rRNA from 1 species
UGCAAAUCAAUAUAAAUUGAUUUUAUUAUAAGUUAUUUAUUUAUUUUAAUUUUUUUUUUUAUUUUAAUUUUAUUAAAAAUAAUUAUUUUAUUUAUAUGUUUUAGUAAUUUUUAAUGAAAAAAUAAUUUUUAUAAUAGUUUAUUUGUAUUGUGAGAGAUGAUUGAAAUAAUUUGAAAAAUUUUUAUUUAAAAAGAAGAAUUUUUGUUUUGUACCUUGUGUAUCAGGGUUUAUUAAAUAAUUAAUAAUUAUUUUUAUUAUUCUCGAUUUUAUAAGAGUUAAUAAUUUACUAAAUUUAAUGUAUUAAAAUUAUUUUUUAUAAAUUAUUAGAAAUGAAAUGUUAUUCGUUUAUAAAGGUAUCUAGUUUUUUUAGAAAUAAAUUUAAUUUAUAAAUUUUUAAUUUUUUAUUUUUUUAUUUAAAUAUAAAAAUUAUUAAUUUAAAUAUUUUAAGGGAUAAGCUUUAAAAUAAAUUAUUAUAAAUUAAUUAAUUUAAUUUAAAAUAUAUGCUUAUAAUUAGCAAUUAUUAAUAAUAUUGUUAUAAAUUAUUUUAUAGAUAUAUUAUUUAAUUAAUUUUUAAUAUUUUUAUAAAAAUUUUUUUUUUAAUAAAUUAUAAGAAGUAUUAAUGAUAGAAUUAGUAUAUAAAUUAUGUAAAAGUAAAUUUAUAUGAUAAGUUUAAAUAAAGAACUCGGCAAAUAUUAUACUCGCCUGUUUAACAAAAACAUGUCUUUUUGAGUUAUUUUUAAAGUCUAACCUGCCCAAUGAAUUUAUUUUAAUGGCCGCAGUAUUUUAACUGUGCAAAGGUAGCAUAAUCAUUAGUCUUUUAAUUGAAGGCUUGUAUGAAUGGUUGGACGAAGUAUAAACUGUUUCAUUUAAAUUUAUAAUAGAAUUUUAUUUUUUAGUAAAAAAGCUAAAAUAAUAUUGAAAGACGAGAAGACCCUAUAAAUCUUUAUAUUAUAAAUUAUUAUUUUUUUUUUGAUUUUUUAAUAUUUAAUAAUUUAUAAUAUUUUAUUGGGGUGAUAUUAAAAUUUAUUGAACUUUUAAUUGUAUUUGACAUAGAUACAUGAUUUUUUGAUCCUUUAAUAAUGAUUAUAAGAAUAAGUUACUUUAGGGAUAACAGCGUAAUUUUUUUGGAGAGUUCUUAUCGAUAAAAAAGUUUGCGACCUCGAUGUUGGAUUAAGAUAUAUUUUUAGGUGUAGUUGCUUAAAUAUAAAGUCUGUUCGACUUU